UACGGAGGAUCCAAGCGUUAUCCGGAUUUAUUGGGUUUAAAGGGUGCGUAGGCGGCCUGUUAAGUCAGGGGUGAAAGACGGUAGCUCAACUAUCGCAGUGCCCUUGAUACUGAUGGGCUUGAAUGGACUAGAGGUAGGCGGAAUGAGACAAGUAGCGGUGAAAUGCAUAGAUAUGUCUCAGAACACCGAUUGCGAAGGCAGCUUACUAUGGUCUUAUUGACGCUGAGGCACGAAAGCGUGGGGAUCAAAC
rnacentral:rRNA from 2 species